CGGAGCUUGCUCCACCGGAAAAAGAAGAGUGGCGAACGGGUGAGUAACACGUGGGUAACCUGCCCAUCAGAAGGGGAUAACACUUGGAAACAGGUGCUAAUACCGUAUAACAAUCGAAACCGCAUGGUUUUGAUUUGAAAGGCGCUUUCGGGUGUCGCUGAUGGAUGGACCCGCGGUGCAUUAGCUAGUUGGUGAGGUAACGGCUCACCAAGGCCACGAUGCAUAGCCGACCUGAGAGGGUGAUCGGCCACAUUGGGACUGAGACACGGCCCAAACUCCUACGGGAGGCAGCAGUAGGGAAUCUUCGGCAAUGGACGAAAGUCUGACCGAGCAACGCCGCGUGAGUGAAGAAGGUUUUCGGAUCGUAAAACUCUGUUGUUAGAGAAGAACAAGGAUGAGAGUAACUGUUCAUCCCUUGACGGUAUCUAACCAGAAAGCCACGGCUAACUACGUGCCAGCAGCCGCGGUAAUACGUAGGUGGCAAGCGUUGUCCGGAUUUAUUGGGCGUAAAGCGAGCGCAGGCGGUUUCUUAAGUCUGAUGUGAAAGCCCCCGGCUCAACCGGGGAGGGUCAUUGGAAACUGGGAGACUUGAGUGCAGAAGAGGAGAGUGGAAUUCCAUGUGUAGCGGUGAAAUGCGUAGAUAUAUGGAGGAACACCAGUGGCGAAGGCGGCUCUCUGGUCUGUAACUGACGCUGAGGCUCGAAAGCGUGGGGAGCAAACAGGAUUAGAUACCCUGGUAGUCCACGCCGUAAACGAUGAGUGCUAAGUGUUGGAGGGUUUCCGCCCUUCAGUGCUGCAGCUAACGCAUUAAGCACUCCGCCUGGGGAGUACGACCGCAAGGUUGAAACUCAAAGGAAUUGACGGGGGCCCGCACAAGCGGUGGAGCAUGUGGUUUAAUUCGAAGCAACGCGAAGAACCUUACCAGGUCUUGACAUCCUUUGACCACUCUAGAGAUAGAGCUUCCCCUUCGGGGGCAAAGUGACAGGUGGUGCAUGGUUGUCGUCAGCUCGUGUCGUGAGAUGUUGGGUUAAGUCCCGCAACGAGCGCAACCCUUAUUGUUAGUUGCCAUCAUUCAGUUGGGCACUCUAGCAAGACUGCCGGUGACAAACCGGAGGAAGGUGGGGAUGACGUCAAAUCAUCAUGCCCCUUAUGACCUGGGCUACACACGUGCUACAAUGGGAAGUACAACGAGUCGCGAAGUCGCGAGGCUAAGCUAAUCUCUUAAAGCUUCUCUCAGUUCGGAUUGUAGGCUGCAACUCGCCUACAUGAAGCCGGAAUCGCUAGUAAUCGCGGAUCAGCACGCCGCGGUGAAUACGUUCCCGGGCCUUGUACACACCGCCCGUCACACCACGAGAGU
rnacentral:rRNA from 1 species